CGCUGGUAUAACCAGCAUAUUUGCUUCAGUGUGCCUUACCACCCAAAACAAAAUGCGGGAGAAGAGUCUCUCGUGAAAUCAGCGCUCUCAGCAGCAGUCGCAGCGAUGCGAACUGUUGAGUGAUUUCUCCUUGUUUGCACCUGAAGUCAAGUAAGAUCAC
rnacentral:misc_RNA from 1 species